rnacentral:rRNA from 1 species
GAACGGAAAGGCCCUGCUUGCAGGGUACUCGAGUGGCGAACGGGUGAGUAACACGUGGGUGAUCUGCCCUGCACUUCGGGAUAAGCUUGGGAAACUGGGUCUAAUACCGGAUAGGAACCAUCUUUAGUGUGGUGGUUGGAAAGUUUUUUCGGUGUAGGAUGAGCUCGCGGCCUAUCAGCUUGUUGGUGGGGUAAUGGCCUACCAAGGCGGCGACGGGUAGCCGGCCUGAGAGGGUGUACGGCCACAUUGGGACUGAGAUACGGCCCAGACUCCUACGGGGGGCAGCAGUGGGGAAUAUUGCACAAUGGGCGCAAGCCUGAUGCAGCGACGCCGCGUGGGGGAUGAAGGCCUUCGGGUUGUAAACUCCUUUCGCUAGGGACGAAGCUUUUUGUGACGGUACCUAGAUAAGAAGCACCGGCUAACUACGUGCCAGCAGCCGCGGUAAUACGUAGGGUGCGAGCGUUGUCCGGAAUUACUGGGCGUAAAGGGCUCGUAGGUGGUUUGUCGCGUCGUCUGUGAAAUUCUGGGGCUUAACUCCGGGCGUGCAGGCGAUACGGGCAUAACUUGAGUGCUGUAGGGGUAACUGGAAUUCCUGGUGUAGCGGUGAAAUGCGCAGAUAUCAGGAGGAACACCGAUGGCGAAGGCAGGUUACUGGGCAGUUACUGAC